CUGGUGUGUUUCGUUGUGUGCUGCAGGAGCAAAGGCAGCUGACCCAUGAGAACGUCCAGAGGAAGCAGGCGCGCACAGGAGAGGAGCGUGACGAGGAGGAUGAAGAGCAGCCCAGCGAGAGUGAGAGUGAAGACGAAGAUAAUGAGAUCAUAUACAACCCCAAAAACCUAACACUCGGCUGGGACGGAAAGCCAAUUCCAUACUGGCUGUACAAGCUGCACGGCCUGAACAUCAAUUACAACUGUGAGAUCUGUGGAAAUUACACGUACAGAGGACCCAAAACCUUCUAGAGACACUUUGCAGAGUGGCGUCACGCUCACGGCAUGCACUGUUUGGGCAUUCCUAACACAGCCCACUUCGCCAACGUCACCCAGAUUGAGGACGCAGUGUCCCGUUAGUACAAUAAUUCAUCACAGA